GUACAGUAUAAUGUCAGACUCAAUUGUCACUAAGGUAAGCUCACAUGAGCAUGUGUUGUACAUUUUGGGGGACAUAUGUGUAUCGGAGUUAAGAGCGUACCGUAAACUCACUCCACAGCAAGCUUGAAAUGUCGCUGACGGAGCCAUCCAAGAGGGUUCUCUUGUACUGCUUAAUCGGUUCGCAUGGCGUCAAAGAGGGCGGUCGCGUGUGUUGCGAAGCAGAGAAUCACUGGUUCAAGCCCAGUAUGGGGCAGUCGGACAGUGGAGGAAGCUACUGUAAGCUGUUAGCAGCAGACUCACCCCCUUUAAAAAAAAAAAAGAGUUUUUUGUUGAAAAACAUAUGGCCCAAAUAAGGGGACUGUGCAUAGGAUACAUUUUCUAUUUUCUACAUGGUGUGUUUAGGUGUAUAGCUUUCACAACUAGUUUAGGGAUGAUUGUUUUAGGCUCAUUGAUAUCCUUUGCCGGUGUGUAUUCUUGUGGAUUUAAGUUAAUGAGGCUUCGAGUUGGCCGAAGAGGCAAGCCAUUAUGGUAUGAUAUACAGCAUGAAACAUAGGUAAGCAGUUCAUGGCGCAACUUUAUGAAAGGUGUAGCUGUACGAGUAACGGUGAUAAUUGGAUGACCAUCAGUAUUGUCAACACUGACAAAUAAAGCAAGGAGAGCGAGACAGAGAGAAAGCGCGCAAGAUACCUAGCUGUUUCUCUACUGCAGUGAUAGAGUAAAAGACAUCACUCCUGCACAAAGACCUCCCUCAGACUUUUCUCCUCCAUCUACAAGCAAAAGAGGGUCCAAAUGUCUUACCGUUCACUGGCCGAACUAGCCAGUAAGUUAGCGAUUCAAGUAAAAAAAAAAAAUACAAGCAUUUUUGCCAUACACCAAUGACUCCUCUCAACCAUGCACAGCACACACACACACACACACACACACACACACACACACACACACACACACACACACACACACACACACACACACACACUCCUGCAGCACAAUCAUUUAGCCAGAGCUUGGCCUCCUGACAGACGUUUUUUUCUUCUCUCUCUGAUUCUGGCUCUCACUCUUUCUCCCUCGCUACUCUCUCUGCCUCCCCCUCUUUCUUUCUGCCUCCUCCUCUCUCUCUCUCUCUCUGUCUCCCCCUCUCUGUCUCCCCCUCUCUGUCUCUGUAUGCCACCCGCACCGCUUAAAGAUUUAGGAAGCAAGAAGUGGAUCCAGUAGAAUGGGUAGACAUACAGUACAUGUGUAGAUGGAUUUCUGCGGACAUACGGACAUACUUCCACGCAAACACACACCCCAUUCUGUGGUAUUCACACAGAAAGCAUACCGUACACAUAUAAUCCAAGCAUCUUCAUAUCGGCCUGCGUCACUAAUGUCAGGGUCUCCAGAACGGCUGCUUGUUUUGCAUACUGUACUUUUCAAGCUCGGGCCGAGGGCCCUUAGACGGCAGGUACCACCUCAAGUGGCAAUUAGUGGCGCCAUUCAGGUACCCAUGCGGCACCCCCCUCUCUAAAAACAUACUCUACCCUGCUCCUCUUUCCCUGUCUCUCACCUACCACACUCUUGUUCACAAAGAGGCGUCCAUCUUACAUGCUUUGACUAAAAAUCCAGAACUUAUCUCACGGUUUUGCUCUAAGCAGAGGCAGUGAGGCAGCUUAGCUUUUCUCCUCCAGCCCUGUGGUUUUUCCUCCUGUACAAAGUGUACAGUGUUUGCUGAUUUACUUGCCGUUCACUCGGGGAAAAAAUGUGUCCGUCUAUUUGUUCGGUGAUUUUUUUUGUUAGUUUUAUUAGCUGAUUAGUCGAUAUAGGUUAAUUCUAUUUUCACUGGUCUGAUUAUUUUGUGUGGUGAGGCUAGUUCCAUUUAGUUGUUUCUCUGGUGUUUCAAACUGUUAGAAUAUAUCGUUUUAAUUCUGGUCAAAUCUGAGGGUGAUGUAUUAUAAAUUAGUCGUUUUGUUGACUUUAAUGCCAUUGCGUUAUAAAUGUGGCCUGCUUUUACGAAACUGAAGUGGCCCCAGCGAGUCAGAGGCACAAAGCAAAUGCGUAUUGCUCAAGAGCCCAACCCACAACGUCCCUCUGCUCUGCUCAGAUAAACUGUACGCUGUGCUAAUCAAGCUUCAAAGUAUUUGGUUUGCAGAUAAAACACAACUGAUUUGCAGUUAUUUGAUUAUUUAUAGUGCUAGCCGUAGCUGGACACUGCUAAGUAUUGUAGCAUAAAUUGUCCACAUAGAUGGGGGUAUUGUGUAAAUGAUCUGUAGAAAAAGUGACUGUCACUGGACCUGUUAGUACACUCAGUCUUUGCAGUACUUGUAGCCGUCUCGCAUCUCUGUUCCCUUUUUGUAUACAUUGGUGUCAAUUAAAGAUAGAAUUUGUUAGCUGAUUGAGUUUCCCUAUUCAUUAGACUUGAUGUUUGGUGAGCUUUUUGAAAUACUUGCCACUGUUCUGUACUGUAAUCCCAAUUGAACAGCUAGCUGUAGGUUUAAGACGGAGAUUCUAACAUGGAAAUAGCAAUCAGCCAUAGCGAUUGUUUAUUGAUUCGACAAAAGAUCUGCGGCAGUCUUUUUGCUCUAGUAUGGGCCACCGUACUUUUUCCUUCCACACUGCCGCCUGCAGUGAAAGAGGAUUUUUAUCCCACGUUUCUGAUUUCUUUCUCACUCUCUCUCUCUGUCAUUCAUUUCAUUUCAUUCUCCUCGUUUUUUCCCAGCCUGGAUUCUCAGAUGGUUGGUUCUGAUUUGCAUGUAUUUGCAUAAUGAAUGUAAUUUGCAUGCUCAGGGGCAGACUAUACCAUGAGGACGGGUAUGUUGGCUGCUUGUGUGUGUGUGUGUGUGUGUGUGUGUGUGUGUGUGGGGGAAUAUAUAGCAAAAAUAGUCAGGUCAUCUUGUUGUUCAUCCAUAGUGUGUAUAUCAAAGGUUUAUCUAGUUUUUUGUGCACGUUUUGACAUAUACAUCUCCUCCAAAUAUGAAUACUGUAGUAAUUCUUUAAGCAUGCGCGAUAUGUGUCAGUGUAUGGAUGUUUGUGUGUGUGAGUGCAUGUGCGUGAACCUGAGAAAGACAUGCAGGCAUGUCCCACUCAUUGGCCAGUAGACCUGACAAUCAUCUCCCUUCCUCUAUCCCUCCCAUCCCCCUAUCUUCCUGUCCUGGUAACCAUUCUGUAAUGCACUGACUAAAUGAAAGAGAUUCACUUCUCUAUCCCAGCAUCCUUCACUCUCUCCCUCCUCUCCCUCCCUCCCUAGUUUGCCCCCUUCUCCUGCACAACGAGUCACAGCCCUGCUGCCACCAUCUUAGAAUAGGACUAGGACUGGCACAAAAUGGCAGUGACCCAUCACAUUGAAGUUAUGUCACAGCCAGUCCACCACCUUCCGACGGCCACCCCACCUCACCAAUGGUGAGGUCCAUUUCCGAACGUAGUGGUGCCCACCUGACCUAAAUGGAACCGGAUUGGCUCCUCUUCCAUUUUUCUCUGCCCCAGUAUUUAAACCUGAAGCCCUUUGUGGACGUUGAACGAUCUCCUUUUGGUUGGGGUGAACUUUAGGCACAUGCCUGGACAUGCCUGACAAACUGAAAAUGGGGUAAUGUACUGUUGGGUCAUGGAUACCAGUGGAUACCCAACCACAGCUGCCUCUGUGGGCUUCAUCCCCAGACCGUCUUUGGAUACACCAAUCAAAGGACAAGUUGAAAUGGACCACUGUGAACUAGUGUGUCUCUGUCCUCCUACAACUAACUGACUGGAUACAUGGACAGAAAUGGAGGGUGUGAGAUGUGUGUGUUCUGUGUUGUGAUGGUACACUGUCUUCUCUGAGACGACUCUACACACAGCUGUGUCCGUCACAUCUGCAAUACAUUCGACACGGGUCAGCAUGCUGAUCUGUUCAUGUGUGCUGUGCUUGUUUGUGUAUAUGUGCUUGUUUGUCUAAGCGCAUACACUUUGAGUCACCCUCACUCAGAGCAAGUUCUGUUCUGGGAUUGUAAGCAACACACGCACACACAUCACAAAUCAUAGUAAAUGUCUUUUAACCUCCUUAUGGUUAACGGACAUAGGAUUUAUCAUGUGCUUAUGCUACCUGGCAAAAAUAAUAUUUGCAACUGGAGGAGGUUGUAUGGUUUAGUAGUAGAAUCGCACUGCAGCACUGAUUUUAUUAUCAAGGGGAGGAUACAACUGGUAAAUAAGUAUCUUAUAUUGGACAGCCCACAUAGUAUUCAGAUCAUUUAUGUAUAGAUAGAACACGUACAAUUAAUUAAAAUAAAACAUAGAAAUGUGCUAAUUGAGUGAUUUAAACAAUUGUAGUAUAGAAAUCAGAGUAGGACGAUAAUUUAUGUGUUAUUUAGUUUACAUAAUGGAUAUGAAUACUAGUUUAGUUAGAAUUUCUCAAAUUAUUUUCAAAAUGUGAAAAUGUGUGUAUUUUUUGUUGUUGUGUAUAUUAUUUCUAUGCAUCUUUUGAAACCUAUGCAAAUGAAUCCACAAAGUAGAUAUUUUAGAAUUUGCUAAUGACGAUCAUUCAAUUUCUCAGAGGGUUUAGAUUUUUCCCCAGACAAUCUGUUGUAUACUGUAGGGUGAUGUGAGAGAUUAGAAAUGAAAGUGCAAUACAGGAACGUUUCUGAGCCCUGCUCCAGACAGCAAAAUAUGUUGGGAUUUUACAGCGUUUUUCUCAACUGAUUUGGAUUUUUAGAUAUUUUUUAGAAGUGUAUCAAUAUCAAAAUAUAAACAUUGGAAUGUUUAAUUUGCUUAACUGUCUGAGUCUUAAAUUAACGGAUUGACUAGAAAGUUGCAUAUACAGUUUUCCAAACAAUUAUUUUGGGAUUUCAUGUGAACAUUUUUACUCUAUGCAACUUUUAUACUUUGUAACUUUUUGUAAUAAAUAAUAUGACUAUCAUUCGGAGCAACUGCAAUUCAUAUUUGUUUCACUGUUUAAGACUUCAUUUGAGAAACUAUGCAAUGGCUGUAUACUAAAUGUGUUUGAUAGUGUGAUGUACUGUACGGUUUUACAACAAUGUGUACUCUACAUGAACAACAAAUGUGUACUCUUUGAGCAUAGUAUGUAAUAGCCUGUAAAUAUACUGUACGUUAUCAAGACCGCACUAUAUGUAGUUGGUUAUGGGCAAUUUGUUGUGGGGAAUGUGCAAUCAGAGUGCAUGUGUGCACUACAUGAGUUUAAACUGUAAACAGUCAGGGUGAAGUGUGUGUAGAAUGAUGCAUCAUGUAGAAAGCAAGAGUACAAUAGAUGGAAUGUGUGCAAUGUGUGUGGAGGCAUGCACUACGCUGAGGGUGAGUGCAAUGUUUUAAUGACAAUGUUGGAUUUUAAAGAGAUGUUUGCAUGAGUGCACUAUGGCCCACAAGAUCAUAGACUAUGUUAGGCAUGUUUGCAAAUGACCUGUGAAUCCUGACUGUAGGGGACUGACUCGUUCUUGUACCAUGGACUCUGUACGAUUAAGUCAACACAAUAAAUGUUUACAUUUAAAAAAAAUAAAAACACAUGUCUGUCUG
rnacentral:lncRNA from 1 species